ACGGCCCCUCAAGGCCUGCAGGUGAGGCUGCUGUGUGCCACAUGUCAGCAGGCGGCCGAGAGGAGAGAGGCCAUGUCUGUGCUCCGUGUUCCGACCUGUGACAUCUGACACUCCCUGAGAGCCAGCCUCG